rnacentral:tRNA from 1 species
UCCCAUGUGGUCUAGUGGUCAGGAUACGUGGCUUUCACCCACGUGGCCCGUGUUCGAUUCCCGACAUGGGAA